GACGAACGCUGGCGGCGUGCUUAACACAUGCAAGUCGAACGAUGAACUUGGAGCUUGCUCUGGGGGAUUAGUGGCGAACGGGUGAGUAACACGUGAGUAACCUGUCCUGGACUCUGGGAUAACUUCGAGAAAUCGGAGCUAAUACCGGAUAGGACCUUGCACCGCAUGGUGUGGGGUGGAAAGUUUUUCGGUUUGGGAUGGACUCGCGGCCUAUCAGCUUGUUGGUGAGGUAAUGGCUCACCAAGGCGUCGACGGGUAGCCGGCCUGAGAGGGUGACCGGCCACACUGGGACUGAGACACGGCCCAGACUCCUACGGGAGGCAGCAGUGGGGAAUAUUGCACAAUGGGCGCAAGCCUGAUGCAGCAACGCCGCGUGCGGGAUCACGGCCUUCGGGUUGUAAACCGCUUUUAGUAGGGAAGAAGCCUUCGGGUGACGGUACCUGCAGAAAAAGGACCGGCUAACUACGUGCCAGCCGCCGCGGUAAAAC
rnacentral:rRNA from 1 species